rnacentral:antisense_RNA from 1 species
GUUCACACUUAAACCCCCAGCUGUUUCCUGUGGGGCCCCAGAUCAUUUGACCUAAGAACAACAGAGCCCAUGUCCUGCUCGUCAUUUCCCAGGAUGGAAUUUGCAACGUGUUUUCUCAACUCACCCCCGUCAGACUUGAGUGAAAUGAACUCUGAGCAUGUCUGCUUUUCCCAGCAAACCUCAGCUAAUCCAAGGACAGUCAUUAACUUGUUAUUCUAAGUAAUCCUCUGCUGAAAGCUGUGAGCCGCCUGGGGUGGACGAGGGCAGGAUUUUCAAGCACAAAAAUAUUGGACCUGCGGCUCCCAUGAGGACAGACAGCCUCCCCAGAGGAGGGGAGGGAUUCGACAGCCUCA